rnacentral:rRNA from 1 species
UACGUAGGGGGCUAGCGUUGUCCGGAAUCAUUGGGCGUAAAGCGCGUGUAGGCGGCCCGGUAAGUCCGCUGUGAAAGUCCAGGGCUCAACCCUGGGAUGCCGGUGGAUACUGUCGGGCUCGAGUCCGGAAGAGGCGAGUGGAAUUCCUGGUGUAGCGGUGAAAUGCGCAGAUAUCAGGAGGAACACCAAUGGCGAAGGCAGCUCGCUGGGACGUGACUGACGCUGAGACGCGAAAGCGUGGGGAGGCAAACAGG